AUUUAAGUAGUUUAAGUAAAAUACUGAUUUGUGGUGUCAGUGAUAUAAAUUAAUUUAUCUUAGAUC
rnacentral:tRNA from 1 species